rnacentral:lncRNA from 1 species
GUUGGUGUGGUGAGUGGUGUAGUGUAAUUUCUAGAGAUGUUCUGAUUGGUGGAAGGGGCUGGGAAUUGGUUUAGUUUGUUCUCAACCACAUUCGGACUGUUUUUGCUGUGGAUGACAAAUAAAUUUAUUUAUUUUGUAAACCUCUGACCAACAAGAUUUUAUUUAAUGAGGUUUUUCUGCUCUGAUAGCACAAAAACAAUUUCUGUGGCCUCAUGAAUUGAAAUGGUUCUCAAAUUGUGAAUAUUAUUUGGAUUUCUGGCCAUUUGGAGGAAUUGCUCAAGGUUGAAUUUAUUUUGUCCUCGCUAUCUCGCGAUCAGGGUUGGGCUGUGACCUCCUGAGCCCGAAAAAAAUAGUCAAAUCGCCAUCAAAUCGCCAUCGAAGAGCAGCAGAAUCGGGGGGGAAAUCGCCAUCGAAGAGCAGCAGGCCGGUGGUCAGAAGGCCCCCAGUAGCGACAAGUGUGCCUUCUGCGACGACGACAGAUGCGGAUGAGGAGAGAGCUCCAGUCGACCCCAAGGAGGUCGAGGCUGAGAUUUAUCCGAUCUUUGAGACUGCGAGAGAGACGCUGCUUGCAAACUCGGCAUUACAAGAGAAGCUGGCUCUGAAUAUCAACCACAUCAUGAGCAGCAGUGAAAUAUGCAGCAGUACCUUGGCUGAAGACCCGGUACUCGCAGUGGAACAAGCACAGGACAGCUCAGCAGAGAUGGAGCACAACUCUUUGAACGAAUCGCCGGAUGUUCCGACAUGGUCGAGGAUUGUGGAAGAACUAAAGUCGAAACAAAAUUGAAGAAACAAAUAAGGAAACACCAACAGCAGUAUAGAAGCGAGAGCGAG